CCUCUAUGACCGAGUUGUGCACAGCGGAUCGCGACGUAGUGUGUGCUAUCAGCCUCUCUGGUUCCCAGUGGGUCUCAAACAGAAAGAAAAUCCCGUUCUGACUUUGUUUUCAAUAUAAUUUGUCCUCUUUUUCGCACCCACGGUUUAAGAAGUGCUGCAGACUGAACAAUUCGCUCAGAUCAAAAAACUGUUCCCUUUGAAAGAGCUUUCUUUCCACAGCACAGCACAGACAGGGAGGUUGUUUUGUUGUAUAUAUAUUUUUUUUUGGAGCAGGCAUUGUACUGAGUGAGUGUAACUUGAUAUUUUUCUGCAUGUCCCCAGAGGGUUUUUUCCAUUACACAGACUCUGCAGAAUGGCUUGGCUCCCUUCCUCUCUCUCCUCUGUCCUCCUCCCCCCCCCUCCCAAUCUCCCUCUCCUCUCUCAAUCACCCUCCCCCGGCAUGCUUUUCCAGAGGCACAUUGUGCAAAUGUAACCUUUCAACAGACCCCGCCUACUCCAGGAAGCCAGCAGGGAGGGGAGCGCAGAUUUUUCUUUCUCUCUCUCUCUACACUAAUUUUCUUUCUUUCUUUUUUUUUUUUUUUGCCAGGAAAGCAGCCGGCUGGGAGCUGGAAGGCAGCCCGUUAAUCAGAGCAGGAUGACAGAAAGGCACAGAUCUUGGGGAACAAAUUUUUUGUUCAAACUCCCUCUUGAGCUGCCUCUGCCUAAAUCCUUUUUUUUCCCCCUUCUAUGUUUUUCAUUUUCAUUCCAUCUCCUCCGCUUGAUUUUUUUUCUACCCUGUACCUUCUGCCUUUAGUGUUUUAUCCUUGGCAGCCUUCUCCACCCUUACCUUUUCUUCCUGUUUUUUUCCCAACCUUUUUCAUUUCAUCAGUCUGAUCUAACUCCUUUGAUUUUUAAUUAUUUUUUUUUAAUAUUCUGUUUUGUACGUGCUUUUUGUCUUUCGUUUCUCCGCCGUGCCUCUGUGGUGUUUGUCACCGGUAGAGUUGCGUGGAAUGAGCUGUUUUUGAACAUAAAGACUGCGUAUCAUCUUGAGAACUCUCGCUGACAAAAUUGAUGCACAUUGCUAACCUAAAUGUCAUGAUAUUUAAAUUGUAAUGAAAGAUGAUUGGUAAAUCUCACGUUGUCACAGGAAUUCAGUUAUUAACACCACCAAUGAAAUGGCGGCUUUGGUUUAUGUCUCCUUUCGGCUUAUAUUAUUUUAAUUUCGAAAAUUAACAAUCUUCAGAACAGUGUUUGUCAACAUCAUUAAGACCUAAUGCCUCCAUAGAAUAUCCGGCUCAUAUAGAAUAAGAAGUUCUCUAAGGCCCAUCAGUUGUUAAAGGAACACUGUCAUCAACAUUUUUUAAUAUGUUAAUAUAAACUUUAUAUUAUCUACUCUUUUACCUAAUUGAUUUUUUCAUCGGUUAUAUAUAUUGUGAAGAAAUCACAUGCCUAUUUUUCGCACGCUUUCUGUAGAACAGCCAUCAUUAUGC